ACGCUGGCGGCGUGCUUAACACAUGCAAGUCGAACGAGAGCGUAGAGAAAGCUUGCUUUUUCUACAAUCUAGUGGCAAACGGGUGAGUAACGCGUAAACAACCUGCCCUACGGAUGGGGACAACAGCUGGAAACGGCUGCUAAUACCGAAUACGUUCCGAAAGUCGCAUGACUGUCGGAAGAAAGGAUGGCCUCUAUUUAUAAGCUAUCGCCGGAGGAGGGGUUUGCGUCUGAUUAGCUAGUUGGAGGGGUAACAGCCCACCAAGGCGACGAUCAGUAGCCGGUCUGAGAGGAUGAACGGCCACAUUGGAACUGAGACGCGGUCCAGACUCCUACGGGAGGCAACAGUAGGGAAUCUUCCGCAAUGGGCGAAAGCCUGACGGAGCAACGCCGCGUGAGUGAAGACGGCCUUCGGGUUGUAAAGCUCUGUUAUACGGGACGAAUAGUCUUGUGGUUAAUACCCAUGAGAAGUGACGGUACCGUAAGAGAAAGCCACGGCUAACUACGUGCCAGCAGCCGCGGUAAUACGUAGGUGGCAAGCGUUGUCCGGAAUUAUUGGGCGUAAAGGGCGCGCAGGCGGCUUCUUAAGUCUGUCUUAAAAGUGCGGGGCUUAACCCCGUGAUGGGAUGGAAACUGGGAAGCUCAGAGUAUCGGAGAGGAAAGCGGAAUUCCUAGUGUAGCGGUGAAAUGCGUAGAUAUUAGGAGGAACACCAGUGGCGAAAGCGGCUUUCUGGACGAAAACUGACGCUGAGGCGCGAAAGCCAGGGGAGCGAACGGGAUUAGAUACCCCGGUAGUCCUGGCCGUAAACGAUGGGUACUAGGUGUAGGAGGUAUCGACCCCUUCUGUGCCGGAGUUAACGCAAUAAGUACCCCGCCUGGGGAGUACGGCCGCAAGGUUGAAACUCAAAGGGAAUUGACGGGGGCCCGCACAAGCGG
rnacentral:rRNA from 1 species